UCUCCGGUUGGAACUGUUGAUUUAGUCAUUUAUCUUGUAAUAACUAUAGGAUUCGCUUCUAUACAUUUUGUUGGGUCUAAAGAGGUGCCUUUAUUGGGCUUUCUGUUUCCCUCUCUGGGAGCUUAUCCCGUGCACUUAUUUUAUGACCCGUAUUGGGUUGAUUGAUCGGUCUCGCCUCGUGUUUGAUUUUGCGUUCCAAGUCGUGUGGUCGGGUCCGAGU
rnacentral:lncRNA from 1 species